GUGAUGUGGGAGGAGGGGUGGGGGCAGCAUUCUGGGAAGGUGUCCCCAGGCAAGGGAGUGGAGGGACAGACAGGCAUAGCCAGAUUCUUGCUCCAGGCCUGGGACCCUCUCCUCACCUUCCAACUCAACUCCUGCAGUUUCAGCCGUCCUCCACAGAGGAGAGGCUGCCUAGUGAAGGCCUGAGUUGGCCAGCAGCAGCACAGAAGUUCCACUGGCCCGUCCACCCUCACCCACACCCCAUACUGGGGGAAGCGCAGUUCCCCAGGGCCAUCUCACCAGCUAGCCCGGCACUACUGGGAGGUGCAGACAACCUGCCAGUAUCCCCAUUUUGAAUAGACAGCAGAAGUAUUUGGGGCUCACACCCACAACUGCUGCCACUGAUGCAGUGGGGGGCUCAUCCAACAGAGAGCUGGCCCUCGCCCGGGAGCACUAGGGAGUCAGGUCCCUCUCCCCAGCAGAAGGAUAUGAGGACAUUCUCUUUGGAGCACCUGCUUGCUGCUCUGGGCCACCUGCCAGGCCUUCUGCCCCUACCCCAAACUCCUCCUCUUGCACUGUCCCAGGGGUCCCUCCAACCCAGGCCUUGAUGAGUGGGGAGCUCUGUCCCUAGCAGGACCUCCUGGCCAUCCUGCAGCUUUCUCCCUGCACAGGGAGGCACAGGUAGUUUCUUUCUCAGGCCGGUUCUAACACAGAGAAACACACUGGCAGGCCUGCGGCUCCUCCUGAGCCCCGCAGCUGGCCACAGCCCACCUGCCCUCUGUUCUCUCUCCCUCCCACUGUCCCACUGUGGCCUCCCUACCCCUCUCCUUCCUCUCCCCUCUCCCUUUCCCUCUGCUGCAGGAGAACAGCACAACCUUUGCAUUCCAGGCUGCAUGCAGGCUCAUUCAUCCCACGGUCCCUCUUCAAGCUAUGGGGCUUCUGCAGGAAUUCCUGUUGGGUCUUUGAGCCCACAGGCCCUCCUCGCUGGUAGCUGCACAGAGUAGAAAUGCUGGCCUGGUAGGAAGGAUG
rnacentral:lncRNA from 1 species